ensembl:lncRNA SNHG16 small nucleolar RNA host gene 16
GUUCUUUUCGAGGUCGGCCGCGUGGCUGGAAGACAUGGCCACUCCAGUCGGUGUUGAGCACGGCGAGCAGUCUCAGGCCUUUAGUGAUGAUGAGGCCUUUCUUUGUUUGGCAUCUGCAGAGACGGUGAAAAGCAGAGCUCCAGGUUGAAGGAUCAGAGUAAUAGAUGGAGCCCUUAACAUGAGUAAGAGUGGGUGCAGGCAGGGCCUGAGUGGUCACUAGAAAUGAGAAAGCACAGUUGGUGCCAUCACAUACAUUCACCUCCUGCUUUAUUCUGAAGUUCAAGUAUGAGAAUACGUGUUGACAUACAAGCCAGCUAUGAUUAAAGGUGGUGGCUGUGGCCUUGAAAACAGUCAUGUGAAAACUCAUCACCUUAAGGUGUUAAGUGUAAGGAUCUUCAUGAUGAAAUUUCUGUAAAUGGUGCAGUCAGCCUCAGUUUCCAAAGCCGGAAAAGGAUCCUCUAGUAGCCACGGUGUGGCAGCUGCUCUGAACCAGGACCUGGACCCGGACCCAAAGUGCCAUGUCUUUAAUGUUAGCUCCCAGCGAUGCCAGAUGGGAUCAGCACAGCCCUGCCUCUGCUGCUAAUUGUUCCUCUAAAGUAAUCGCCAUGCGUUCUUUGGGCUUCAUCUUUAAAGGAAUGAAGCAACUGAGAUUAUUCUGGAAAACCUUUUGGCAGUUAGUGAAAUUAGAGUACAACUAAGAACAUUUUCAGACCUCCACUGUGGAUGACCUGGGUAUAAUCUCACAAAUCGAUGGGACUGCAAGGAUUGUAAACUGAAAUGAACAUGAUUAUACUCUGUUGGAAGAGCCUAAGAGGAAACUGAUGCCAUGAGUUUCAGAGAGUAAUGCUUAACCCCAGUUACACAGGAUGCCGUCUUGUGUUUCCUCUUGUUUAGUUACCCACUACAGUGAUUUUGUGAUCUGCUAAUGGGUUGCCACCCACAACCAUUGCUUUAGCACUUUUACUUCAAAUCAAUGAAGGAUUGAUAAAAGUU